rnacentral:rRNA from 1 species
AACUGCGAGUGAAGCGGCACAAGCUCAAAUUUGAAAUCUGGCGUCUUUGGCGUCCGACUUGUAAUUUGGAGAGGCAUCUUUGGAGAUGGCGUUGUCCCAAAUUCCUUGGAACAGGAUGUCGCAGAGGGUGAGAAUCCCGUAUCUGGACGGCUGUCCAUCUCCAUUAUGGGGUGUCUUCGACGAGUCGAGUUGUUUGGGAAUGCAGCUCAAAAUGGGUGGUAAAUGUCAUCUAAAGCUAAAUAUUGGCGAGAGACCGAUAGCGCACAAGUAGAGUGAUCGAAAGAUGAAAAGCACUUUGAAAAGAGAGUCAAAAAGUACGUGAAAUUGCUGAAAGGGAAGCGCUUGAGACCAGACUCAACUCCUUGAUGUCAACCCGGGCUUCUGUCUGGGGAAUUAUGUCUUGGAUUGAGCCAGCAUCGGUUUUGGGGGUGGGAUAAAAGAAAAGGGAAUGUAGCUUCCUCACGGGAGUGUUCUUCAGCCCUGGUCAUAAUGCCACCACYCAGGACCGAGGACCGCGCUUUGGCUAGGAUGCUGGCGUAAUGGUCUUAAGCGACCCGUCUUGAAACACGGACCAAGGAGUCUAACAUCUAUGCGAGUGUUCGGGUGGAAAACCCUUGCGCGCAAUGAAAGUGAACGGAGGUGGGAACCCGUGAGGGUGCACCAUCGACCGAUCCUGGUGUCUUCGGAAGGAUUUGAGUAAGAGCAUAGCUGUUGGGACCCGAAAGAUGGUGAACUAUGCCUGAAUAGGGUGAAGCCAG